CUACAAAGAUGCCAGCUGCAGUGGGGGAGACUUGGCUAAGGCUGUGCACUCUGUGGAGCCAGCAGGAGCUGGAAACAG
ensembl:miRNA